GACGGAAGGUGCAAGCGUUGCUCGGAAUCACUGGGCGUAAAGGGUGCGUAGGCGGUUCGCUAAGUCGGGUGUGAAACCUCCAGGCUCAACCUGGAGACGCCACCCGAUACUGGUGUGACUCGAGUCCGGUAGGGGAGCGUGGAAUUCCUGGUGUAGCGGUGAAAUGUGCAGAUAUCAGGAGGAACACCAGCGGCGAAGGCGGCGCUCUGGGCCGGAACUGACGCUGAGGAGCGAAAGCGUGGGUAGCAAACAGG
rnacentral:rRNA from 1 species